rnacentral:rRNA from 1 species
UGGGGAAUAUUGCACAAUGGGCGCAAGCCUGAUGCAGCAACGCCGCGUGAGGGAUGACGGCCUUCGGGUUGUAAACCUCUUUUAGCAGGGAAGAAGCGAAAGUGACGGUACCUGCAGAAAAAGCACCGGCUAACUACGUGCCAGCAGCCGCGGUAAUACGUAGGGUGCAAGCGUUGUCCGGAAUUAUUGGGCGUAAAGAGCUCGUAGGCGGUCUGUCGCGUCUGCUGUGAAAUCCCGAGGCUCAACCUCGGGCCUGCAGUGGGUACGGGCAGACUAGAGUGCGGUAGGGGAGAAUGGAACUCCUGGUGUAGCGGUGGAAUGCGCAGAUAUCAGGAAGAACACCGAUGGCGAAGGCAGUUCUCUGGGCCGUAACUGACGCUGAGGAGCGAAAGCGUGGGGAGCGAACAGGAUUAGAUACCCUGGUAGUCCACGCCGUAAACGUUGGGCGCUAGAUGUGGGGCACCAUUCCACGGUUUCCGUGUCGCAGCUAACGCAUUAAGCGCCCCGCCUGGGGAGUACGGCCGCAAGGCUAAAA